rfam:TPA: Bos taurus chromosome 1, whole genome shotgun sequence.
UCCCAGGUGGCUCAGUGGUAAAGAAUCUGCCUGCCAAGCAGGAGACAUGGGUUUGAUCCCUGGAUUGGGAA